AGACGAGUCCUGCCAGAUAUUUCAGGAGGUAGAGUAUUAGAUGCCCUAUCACAGGUUGCCGAUCAGAUAGAAGCAGUUUUGGAGAGUUUGCCUACGCUUCCACACUCUGUACCUCCACGACCAGCAGACUAUAGUGGAGCAUCGACGUCCGGCCAUGCACCAGUAUAUAGUCCACCGAGACCAUCAUCACCUAUAGAGGAGCCACCUUAUGCUGAUGUUAUGGACCCGGCACCAACACCAGUACCAAAGGAUCCACCUCGAGCAGUUGAUAUUGUUUAUUAUAGGCGCCGACGACAUAUGAGGUCUAUCCGUACAGAUCAACCCUCCUCUUCAGCUCCUCCACGGCCAGACAUACUACCGACACCUGCUACUGCUGUGAUUGAGCCGGUUAUUGAGGGUGUUGCUAUCGAGCAUUUGGACCAGUUGGAGGUCUUAGAGCCUUUUGAUGAGCAUGGUGUUGAUCGUGGUCGCGGACGUGGUAGGCGACGUGGUCAAUGGGGUAGGAGGAGAAUGUGAUAUUAUAUUUCUAUAUUAUUGUAAAACUUGCUUUAAUUUUGGAUAUUCUGUUGUGAUUAUUUGGUAUUGAUAAUUUAUUGAGAUUCGGUUGGUAGUGAUGUGUAUAUUGUACUGUUGUGUUGUGAUGCUGUGAUGUUGUAUUGUACUGUUGCGUUUAGGUAUCUGUAUUGUAUUGUUGUGUUGUGAUAUGUGAUGUGUAUUGAUUUUUUUUUUUGCUCCAAAAAUAUGCUGAUGUUGUGAAAUGUAUUUUGAUUUGAUUUUUGGCGCAAAAAAAAAGGCUAAGGCUGCCUAGUUGUAUUGGACACGGUGAACCAUUCACCAU
rnacentral:lncRNA from 1 species